rnacentral:rRNA from 1 species
UACGUAGGGGGCAAGCGUUGUCCGGAAUCAUUGGGCGUAAAGCGCGUGUAGGCGGCCAGAAAAGUCCGCUGUGAAAACUCGAGGCUCAACUUCGAGCUGUCGGUGGAAACUUUCUGGCUAGAGUCCGGAAGAGGAGAAUGGAAUUCCUGGUGUAGCGGUGAAAUGCGCAGAUAUCAGGAAGAACACCCGUGGCGAAGGCGGUGCUCUGGGACGGUACUGACGCUGAGAUGCGAAAGCGUGGGGAGCAAACAGG